GAAAUUCUACGAUUCAAAAACAAGAAAAGCAUAAAAUAAUGCUAACACAAACAAACGGGCACAAAAACUAACCAACAAGCUAGUAGGAGAUUACUAGGUCGUCAAUUAGUGUUCAAACCAACAAACGAAACUAAGAAACAAUAAAAUGAAACUAAGAAAUCUAAAAGUUGAACUCAAAAUGUUGCGUGAAUGGUAAUUUAGUGAUGUGGCAGUCCACUAUUGGCCUCGGUUUUGUCAAAAUUUUAC
rnacentral:lncRNA from 1 species